rnacentral:rRNA from 1 species
GACGAACGCUGGCGGCGUGCUUAACACAUGCAAGUCGAACGGAAAGGCCCUGCUUUUGUGGGGUGCUCGAGUGGCGAACGGGUGAGUAACCCGUGAGUAACCUGCCCUUGACUUUGGGAUAACUUCAGGAAACUGGGGCUAAUCCCGGAUAGGAGCUCCUGCUGCAUGGUGGGGGUUGGAUAGUUUCGGCGGUUGGGGAUGGACUCGCGGCUUAUCAGCUUGUUGGUGGGGUAGUGGCUUACCAAGGCCUUGACGGGUGGCCGGCCUGAGCGGGGGACCGGACAAGUUGGGACGGAGAUGCGGCCCAGACUAGUACGGGAGGGAGGAGUGGAGAAGAGUGCACAAUGGGCGGAGGCCUAAUGCAGCAACGCCGCGUGCGGGAUGAGGGCCUUCGGGUUGUAAACCGCUUUCGCCUGUGACGAAGCGUGAGUGACGGUAAUGGGUAAAGAAGCACCGGCUAACUACGUG